rnacentral:rRNA from 1 species
UACGUAGGGUCCGAGCGUUGUCCGGAAUUAUUGGGCGUAAAGGGCUCGUAGGCGGUCUGUUGCGUCGGGAGUGAAAACUUACAGCUUAACUGUGAGCGUGCUUCCGAUACGGGCAGACUUGAGGUAUUCAGGGGAGAACGGAAUUCCUGGUGUAGCGGUGAAAUGCGCAGAUAUCAGGAGGAACACCAAUGGCGAAAGCAGCUCUCUGGGACGGUACUGACGCUGAGACGCGAAAGCGUGGGAGCGAACAGG